AAGUGUAAAGAAGUCCAACCAAGUUCUGAUCUGUUUCAUGAUGACUGACUGCCUUGAUAACCGUCUUCAGAAUAUCACUUUUUUUCUCUCUCUCUCUUUUAGCUGUCGAUGACCCUGCUUCGCUAAGUUCACGUGGAGACCACAUCUUGCUCAGCCAUAAACACAUUCACCUCUCCUGGAAUGCACUGGUCUAUCUCCACCGAUUUUUCCCUGGAGAACUCCUCUUCACCCUUCAGCGCUCAAAGGCCACCUCCUCCAGGAAGCCUUCCCUGAUUGCCCCUUCCCACUUGGGUUUGGGAGCACCUAGGCUUCCCCUAGGGCGGCACCCACCACGCUGUACUGUUAUUAUUUGAGGAAAGAGACCUCCAGUUCUUCCCCAUCUUUAAGUUUUCAUUGGGCCCUGGCUCUGGGAAGCCCUCCAGCACUCUCUACUGUGCCCUGGGCAGAGAAGGGCAACUGACUGACCAGGGUUGGGGAAUUGUUUGCAUGAAGCCGUUGAAAGACCAAGGUCUCCCUGAAAGUCCCUCGGAAACAGUAAAUACAGCCAUUUAUCAUCCUGGGAGCUGUUUUCUGUUGGGUCCUUUCUCGCUUCCUUCCAUCAGAAGACAACGUAAAAUGAUGUACCACCACCACUCCUGGUAAGGAGCUACUCAUUCCUGUAUCCCUUUCAUCUAGCACAAUGCCUGGUUCAUAGCAGCUGCUCAGUGAAAGUUUGUUUGCUCUGUAAAUGAUGAAUGAGUCAUAGGUAUUGUCACAGAAUAUUGGAAUCCUGGGGUCAGAAAGUCCCUUGAAGGACACUAAGCACCACAGAGCAUGUCUGGGAGUUGUUGACUAGAAUGAGACCCUGUACCACCUGGUCUAAAGGAGCAUAUGCCACCCCCUGCCUCCCCAAUGCACGCGCGCGCGCGCACACACACACACACACACACACACACACACACACACAUCAUAGAGGCUCAGCUCUCUCUGGAGAGGCUUUCACAUCCCCUCAAAACAACAGGUGGGGAACUUCCCUGGUGGUCCAGUGGUUAAGACUCCACACUUCCAAUGCAGGGGGCCUGGGUUCAAUCCCUGGUCGGGGAACUAGAUACUGAAUGCCGCAACUAAGAGCCUGCAUGCCGCAACUGAGAAGCCUGAGCCCACAUGCUGCAAC